CUGCCUGAGACGUCGACAUAGUGUAAACAACGAGAUGGCCGCUCAACUUAAGAUACGAACGGCAGAACUGAUGGUUCUUCAGAAAGAGAUAGCAGUCAUGAAAGAACUGAUUGAAAAGUAUAGAAAUAAUCUUAAUCGAUUGCAGGUAGAAGAAUUGACCAUUAAAAA